CCAGAACACACCUUCAGCCAGAUUUGAAUAUAGAUUUAGGUUUUAAAACCCAGAAGCUGGAAACACCACUUUAUCAAAGAGAAUUUCCCUUUAGCUUAGCAAUAUGCUGCAGCUCUCAAAAGAUUGGAUCUGAAAGAAAGAGACGGAGGAGAAUGAGAGCCAGAGACAGAGAUGCAGACAAGGGAGGGAAGGGGAAAAAAGACUUUUCUUUUCUUUUUUUUUUUUUUUUCUUUCUAGAGGAAUUCUGCCCAGACUCUCCAGCAGUUGGUAGCAGGCAGGCUUUCUCCUGUGUCGCCUGGAAAAGUUGCAAAAUUGCUCUUCACCUGUAAGAACAUGCUUUUUUAUCUUCCAGUCUCUUCUUGUCAAUUUGGAAAUUGCAGACAGCCCGGCUCAGGCAUUAAGAGAAAUUGAUUAGUGACAAGGAAGAGAAGAAAACAUUGCUGGUCAGUAGGCCACGGUAUUCAAGUCCCUCAGAUAAAUGGCUCCUGGGAGGAGAGAACACAUCCAAUGUAAUCCUGACGUAUGCAGAAUUGAGUUCGGUUUGAACCCAGCCAUCAAGGGAUGAAAGGAAGGACAUGUGUUCCUCUUGUGAAAGAGACAGCAAUGCGUCACUGUGAUCAACUCCUGUGAUAUCUGUUGAACCCUGGAUCUUCUUCGACAACCCUACCUUUGUGUUGCAUAAGCACAUCCGCUCUCUAGGUGGACGGUAGUAAAACAGGUGAACUAUACAAAGAUGACCAGGUUCCCCUGCAGACGUAUUUUAUAUUUUUAUAUAGAACAGAGGCAG
ensembl:lncRNA